rnacentral:misc_RNA from 1 species
AAGUCGUAACAAGGUAACCGUAGGUGAACCUGCGGUUGGAUCAUUACUGAUUUCUUUUUUAGAGUUGAUUCUGCAAAGAGUCCUUUAGGAAGAUCAACACUUUGUGCACUAUUAUUGUUUUUUGGGUCUUGGGGUAUCCUUAUCGAUACUCUUAGCUUUACCUGUUGCCUUUUGGUAACAAAUGGUGAGGCCCAACCACUUUACAAACCAUAUUAUUUGACUGAAUCUCUAUGAAAAUAGAAACAACUUUUGACAACGGAUCUCUUGGCUCUC